rnacentral:lncRNA from 1 species
AUAUACUAGAACACACCCGUGAUAUCGCGGGUCCGUGACUAAAUUUAAGUAUAUAACUAUGCGCAAGCCUUAUUUUAGUAUUAUUUUUUAUCUGAUAAAGUCAUGCCGAUAAUAAGAUACACAGUUUUCUCUGCUUUCAAAUCUUUCUGUUUGAACCCGUCGAACUGGAACUUAUCAAUUAUUGGUAAUAUUAAUUAUUUGGUACAAAAGGUCCUGGAAUGGAGUAAUUUUUAAUCAACAGCAUUGUCCUAUGUUAAUUAUAAAUAAAGUUGAAUUAUUUGAUUCACUGUUUUAUGCCAUGCCCGCUAACAAAUUGAAAACGGUUCCUAUAUACACCUUAUUUUUAGUCCAGAUUUUUAGUAUUCAUAUUGUUAUCUUAGAAAGUCUUACUGAUUAAAAUACUACAAUAGGUAACAAUUUGACAAUGAUUAAAUUUAGUAGUGUCAACCCUGUGAUUAUGAUCCGUGUAUAUAGCAUAAUCCUAAAUACACCGUUUGGUGGUGCACCUGUUAGAUGCGGAACGUACAGAUAAGGUAAUAGGUAACAGGUGAAUAUACUAUUGGUAUCGGUAUCGGACUCGACCCGGAACUUCUUAAUUAUUGGCAAUAUUAAUUACGUGGAAAAUAAAAGGGCCUCGAGUGGUGUAAUUUUCAAUCUACACCUUUGUACUAUAUUAGUUAUAUAUAAAGCUGAAUUCUUUGAUUCGUCGUUUUUACGUGAUGACGGCUGACAAAUUGGACCUCGUAAUUUUAGUAUUAUAGAU